rnacentral:lncRNA from 1 species
AUGCUUGCUAGAUUGGAACACAGAACCAUGGCUGUCACCAACGUCAUGCGGUUGUGUUUCUUUUGUUGGGUAAGCUGUUCCUGUUUUUUGGUUGUGGAACUCUUAUGAAUACUCCAAAUGCUAGCUGGUGCUCUUAAUGUGCUCUCAGUUGGCUGGUGCUGGAAAGUUGCGGCAUGUACGCGCCCACGAUGGCUUCCACAACAUCGAGAGAGAGGCAGCCUGGCGGCAUUCGCCACGUCGGAGGGCGCAUCAAGCAAAAAAUCGCCCGAAUAGUCAGGGAUGAUGAUUCGUAUUCGCGAAGGUUGCAGCUACAUGCGAUCGUUAGAAUCAGAAGAUCAAUUAAUAUCAUAUAAAUAAAUGUAUACAAUAAAAACAAUAGAAAGCUGAAAA